AAUAUUGCACAAUGGGGGAAACCCUCCUGCAGCGACGCCGCGUGAGUGAAGAAGUAUUCCGGUAUGUAAAGCUCUAUCAGCAGGGAAGAAAUUAACGGUACCUGACUAAGAAGCCCCGGCUAACUACGAGCCAGCAGCCCCGGUAAUACGUAGGGGGCAAGCGUUAUCCGGAUUUACUGGGUGUAAAGGGAGCGUAGGUGGUGCAGCAAGUCAGAUGUGAAAGCCCGGGGCUCAACGCCGGAACUGCAUUUGAAACUGUCGUGCUAGAGUGCAGGAGAGGUAAGUGGAAUUCCUAGUGUAGCGGUGAAAUGCGUAGAUAUUAGGAGGAACACCAGUGGCGAAGGCGGCUUACUGGACUGUAACUGACACUGAGGCUCGAAAGCGUGGGGAGCAAAC
rnacentral:rRNA from 1 species